rnacentral:lncRNA from 1 species
AUCCGUAAAAAGUGUACUGAACUUUCGAACUGGCUUGGUAGGAAGUACUAGAAACUCCUUAAAUAAUUAUUUGAAUGCUGAUCUGUGAAUGAAAUAACUUACAAAUUAAAUAGAUGUGAUAGGCAUCUAUUUAGGAGGGAUUAUAAAUUAAAAUUCUUUACUAAUAAUUCAAAUUCAAAAACUUAAAUCUUCAGCACAGUGUCUACAAUGUAAAUCAAAGCUAAAAAUUAUACCAAGACCUUAGAAAUUAUACUAUAAUAUCAGCACAUUAUCAACUUUUAGAGCAUGCUUAAAUCACAAUUUGUAUUAGUAUUUGGAUAAUUCUUCAUAUUUUUUUGUUAAAAUAAUUAAAAUUAUUAUCAUUCAAUUCAAGUUAAAUAGUUGUGAGAGGCCCUGCUUGGAUAUUUUUGAAAACGUAGCAUAAUUAAACUAUACUACACUAGCAGAAAAAUUAUCCUGUGAAACAUUUGGAAGAAAAACAAAAUAACGUAAUUUUUGAAGUAUAGUUAAACUAUACUUCAAAAAAUAGAGUAAAAUUGUAAUUCACUCUAACCAAAAAAAAAUAAUUUUACUAUUCUUGGGCUCCCUUACCCUAAAAAUGUAUCAAAUUUUAAUUUUAAAUUUCAACCUAGAUUUUAAAUUUUAAGUUUUAAAUUUUAAAAAUUUAAAUUUAUUUUAAUUUUAAAAUUUUAAAUUUUAAAUUUUAAAUAGAAUUUUAAAUUUUAAAUUCUGAAUUUUUACUUUUAAUUUUAAAUUUUAGAAAAAUUUUAUGAAAUUGCACAAUGUGCAUUCAAAGAAUUUAAAAAUUGAAUUCGUGAAAUCUUUUAGAGUUAUAAAAUGUUCUAUUNAUUAAAUAGAUGUGAUAGACAUCUAUUUAGGAGGGAUUAUAAAUUAAAAUUCUUUACUAAUAAUUCAAAUUCAAAAAGUUAAAUCUUCAGCACAGUGUGUCUACAAUGUAAAUCAAAGCUAAAAAUUAUACCAAGACCUUAGAAAUUAUACUAUAAUAUCAGCACAUUAUCAACUUUUAGAGCAUGCUUAAAUCACAAUUUGUAUUAGUAUUUGGAUAAUUCUUUAUUUUCUUUGUUAAAAUAAUUAAAAUUAUUACCAUUCAAUUCAAGUUAAAUAACUAUGAACGUAGCAUAAUUAAACUAUACUACACUAGCAGAAAAAUUAUCCUGUGAAACGUUUGGAAGAAAAAAAAAAAUAACGUAAUUUUUGAAGUAUAGUUAAACUAUACUUCAAAAAAUAGAGUAAAAUUGUAAUUCACUCUAACCAAAAAAAAAAUAAUUUUACCAUUCUUGGGUUCCCUUACCUCAAAAAUGUAUCAAAUUUUAAUUUUAAAUUUCAACCUAGAUUUUAAAGUUUAAAAUUUUAAAGUUUAAAAUUUUAAAUUUUAAAUAGAAAUUUGAAUUUUAAAUUUUAAAUUCUGAAUUUUUACUUUUAAUUUUAAAUUUUAGAAAAAUUUUAUAAAAUUGCACAAUGUGCAUUCAAAGAAUUUAAAAAUUAAAUUCGUGAAAUCUUUUAGAGUUAUAAAAUUUUUUAUUUUAUUUAGACCAAAACUAUAACUUACAAAUUUUACUAAAUUUGUUUUAUUGUGCAGCCAAACAGUUCCAAAAUAAAAGAAAAGCAAUUAGCUAGGAAUCUUCUGGUACCGGAGGUGAAGAAGGCAGCACUCGUUUCGCUGUCAGUGGGGCACCUGACGACCCAGAGAAAGCGCUGCCCGCUGGCCUCCAGCCCGAGCGCCAUCUCCUGCAGCUGCUCGGUCGAGAUGGUCCCACCACUCCCCAGAGACACAAAUAAAACCGAGCCGGCCGGCUGCCGGUCCAGCCACUCCAGGCAGCCCGACUCGUCCUCCUCGUCUGACCCGGCGGACCGGACCGUCGGACCCACCAGGUGGACCGGCGGCCUCCCUGCUUCCACUUGCUCCUCCUCUAUGAUGGCUUUCACCGCCUCCGGCUCCAUCUCCUCGAAGCUGUUCACCAGAAUCCCGGCCGCCUCGCUGUAUCUGUGCGAAACAACCGUUUACUUUAAAAAAUUAUACUGACCACGUUCCAACUCAGUGUUUACUAUAUUAUUAUUUAAAAUAAUGAGUCCGGCUACUAUGCUAUUAAUAGCACAAAAUACUUGGUGCUACCAAAUUUUCCGCCGUUAGAUCUACCCUUGUAAUCAUUUUCACUCGUUAGAUCAUACUAUUCAACCAACCACUCACUCAAUUCUAUGGAGCCCAUAUCAUCCUAACCACAUCUCUUAAUCUAAUGACUAAAAAUUUAAUAGUACCAGUGACUUAGUGUUAUUCAUAGCACAGUAGCAUAGUUCUAAAAUAAUUAAUAAUUAUUUUAAAAACUUAAGCUACUGGAUAAACAUAUACUUAAUAAAAGGAUAAGGUGUCAGAGAACAGAUUUUUUUUUUUUUUUUUUUAUUACUUGCGCAGGGUCUGUAUGAGCGGAGCGUGCUCGGGGUGUGACUUCUUGCGGAAGGGGUCGGGGAAGUCCGUCCCGCGUAUGGCGACGCAGCCGGGCAGGCGGACGGGGUCGGGGAGGUCUUCGAAGUCGACGUCGGUGGUCUCGUCGAGCCGGGGCAGGUGCAGCGCGAGGGUGAGCAUCGUGAGGUUGGAAGGGUAAAAUAUGUAGCCCGGCACGCCGAGCUCCCGCACCAGCGACAGCGUCUCGGAUCCGUAAAGGCCGCAGACGAAGGCGGCGGCGGGGUUUCGGAAGGAGAGGAAGGCGUCGCGGAGGAGGGGGAGGCAUCGGGCGAGGAGGGCGCAGAGGUGGACUUCGAUCGGGGAGUCGGGGGGGAGGUCGGAGAGGGAGAUGGAGGGGAGGGAGACGGAGGUGACGGAGCCGGAGGGGAGGGAGGCGAGGAAGGCGGCCUGCGCCGGGGAGUCGAAGUUGGAGAAGGUGAGGAGGGUGGCGGAGAAGCCGUGGGCGGCGAGGCGAACGGCAAAGUCCGCCAGCGGGAUCACGUGGCCUAUUCCCGGCGCCGAGAGCAGGACCACGUGAGGUCGCCGGCUUUCAGCAUUCAUAUAAUUAAUGUGGUAAUAUUUGUUUGGACUGUCGUGCAGUACAAAAUAGAGAUAUAGAUAUGUAUCAACAGAAAAAGGGGAGUUUGAGUUGUGUUGUGUUUGUAAGAUUUUGCAGAAAGCUUCUCAUCAAUUACGGGAAAAAAGUGUGGGCGAUGUUCUCUGGUCAGUCGUCUUUGGCUCCAUGCGUUGUGGAUGUGUUUGGUGGUGCAUUUCUUUCCCAAUUUAAUAAUACAUAAAUAGAAUAGUAAAUUUUAUUUUUUUGAAUAUUUAUAGCAUUUUAGAAAGCAAUAUGUUACAUAAGUCAAAAAGUAUCAAACACAGCUGGUCAGAGUUGGUGCUGAACUGCAACUCUUGAGGAAAAAGACAAGUGCGAAAUUAUAUAAAAAAACCUUAAUAUUUAUUGAGGAUCUGUCUUUUCUUUUAAAAAAAAUGUAGAAGAGACAAAUGAAAUCCUCAGCAAUCAGAGCAAGUGGUCAAACAAGCCAUUUUGAUGGCACAGCAAAUCUAUUCAGUCGACCGAAUCAAUAUGAUGAACUUCUAAAAUUAAUAAAGCAAUUAAUUUUUAAAUUUAGAAGUCAUUGAUUAUCACUUUUUUAAUAAGUGUAUAUUGCAAUCUACAUUAAUUUAGUUGAUUGUAAUAUAAAAAUAGUAUUGUAAUAUUAUGAUCGUUGAUGCGCCAAAAAUUAUAAUAUUACAUCAUUUUUAUUUUAGCAGUAUAUUAAUAUUUAGUUAGAUAAAUUUAGGUACCGGACUUGGCUACUUGGUUUGUACUUAAUUCCAUACCAUUUGUUUGUUUGUUUGUUUUUUUUUUUGGAAUGUUACUUCAUCCCCUCUUUUGAUGUUGACUAUUGUCAAUUUGGCUUAAAUUAGCGUGCCAUAUCACUAAGAGAAUCUUAUUGAAGAAACAAUGGUCACAUAUGACGUAAUUAUAGUCAAAACAAAAAAGCUUUUAUAUUCUUAGGAAAUUACUUAUGUAAUAUUCGAAUUACCAUCCAAAAGGAAAAGAAAAAUUAACCACACAUUUUUCUGGUCCAAGUGGCUUGACAUUUUCAAAUAUAGUUUCCAAAUUUAUUUACUUUAUAAAAAAUAUUUACGCGUAAUAAGUUGACCUGAGAAACAAACUAAUCAUUGAGUAUACUAACAUUCUUGCGAAAUUAAUACAAAUGACACACGAAAUUAACAGAUAGCACGAUGCAUACUAAACAAACUAUUAAUAUAAAUGACACGCGAAAUUAACAGGUGAUACAAUGCAUACUAUGAAAAAAAUUAAUUCGACAAAAAAUUAUAAUUGAUAAAAACAAUUAUUCACAAAAAUAUAGAUUUGAUACUUUGUUUACUUUUACGCAGCACAAGAAAAUAAAUAGAUAAACCUAAGUAAUAGAUAAACCUAGUUAUCCAAAAGCCGACCAAGAGGUAGGGAAGUUCCAGUCCCCUAUACAAACUUAAAUUUGGGACUCUGUACGCUUGUAUGGGUUUAUUGUAUAACGGCGUGUUUGGUAAAAUGGAUCGACACUUCAGUAAAGCCACGAGUUCCGUCUGUAUGGCAGAGCUCGACUUUGAGUUCGCAUAGAGCGCGAACUUGUUGAUUUGUGAGACGAAUUCGCACGUGCAGGCGGAGUAGGCCCCAUGGAAGUCGAGCUCUGUCGUUUCGUCCAAACGUUGGCGAAUUUCUGUUACGAGAACUAUGCCACUUCGACCUCGAAUGUGAUCAAAACAAAUACACUCUAAGUUGUUUUUUUUUUAGAGAGAGAGAAAAAUAGCAUACUAUCUGUUCCGUUUAUUUCUUUUAAAAUAAAAAAAUAAAUUUAGCUGAAAAUGUGAAAUAAUUAGAUUUCGAACUUACAAUCUCAAGUAUCAACCACUAAAUUUUUCACCACUUGCAAUAUGGCCAGAGGUCAGUACACUCUUAAGUUGUGGAAAGGAUUGUUUGUGCCACUCAUAGACACACAAAAAAAAGGAUUAAGGGAUAUUUUCGGUCGGGCCGGACUUUCGAGAGCGACACCCGAACCCGGCUUGUUUAUGUUUCGAGCGGGGCUUUGGGCUGGGCUGAGGCUCCAACAGCCCAGCUCAAGCCCACCCGUUAAGCUCCAAACUCGGACUUUCUUAAUUUUCUUGUUAUUUUCAAAAAAGAAAAAAAAAACCAUCUACUUACCCUAUCAGAAAUCAAAUUUGAUUUUAAAAUAAUUGAACUAUACUUUGCAGAUAGGAGUUUGUAUGUAGCACUGGACAAUUAAUUUCUGACAAAGUUAGAGUACAUUUAGACUAUGCAAAUCCAGUGAUAUUUUUCCUCCUGUUUUGUCCGUUGAUAAGAUUCUUGUACCCUUCAAUUUUGGCUUUUACCUAUCUUAUCUUAUCAAUACCAAUAUAUUAAAGUGACGGACCGUCCCUAUCGUAAGUGGCAAAAGAUUUGGUGGUUGGUAUUCAAGAUUUCAAGUUCGAAUCUGUCUUGAUUUAUAUUUUCAGAUAAAUUUAUUUUAAAUAAAGUAAACAAAAUGAAUAACAUUCUACCUAUCUCUCUCUCUCUCUCAAAAAAAAAAAAAAAAAGGCAUUACAGGGCUACAUACAUGAAAGGAUAAUCCAAACCAUGUGAACAGCAGAGGCCCUCCUCGCUCCCCCCUCUCUCAGGUGGGUCACACUUUUUUUUUUUUCCCCCCCCCUCUCUCUCUCUCCUCUCAUCUCUCUCUCUCUCUCUCUCUCUCUCGUCUCUCUCUCUUCUCUCUCUCUCUCUCUCUCUAGAGAUGUCAACGGUCGGAUUCGGGCGAAUUUUUAAAACCCGAACCCGAACCCGACUCCAAAAACCCGAGACCCGAACCGACGGAUUUUAAAAUUCAUAUCCAAACCCGAACCCGACCAAAAUCGAAACCUGAACCCGAACCCGAAAAUUUGAACCUGAAAUAAUUAUUUCUUUUUUCAAUAUUUCAAAAUAUAUUAUAUUAAAUUUAAAUUUUUAAAAUACAAAUUCAAAUAUAACAUCAAUUUUUUAUAUAUAUAUUAUAUAUAAUGCAAAAUAAAUUCGGGUUCGGGUCGGGUUCGGGUCGGGUUCGGGUUCGGGUCGGGUACAAUCAAAAUCCAUAUCCGAAUUCAUAUCCGUUAGAUUUCUAUUUUUGAUUUCUAUAUUCGAAUCCAUAUCCAUAUCCAUCAGAUAUAUCCGGGUUCGGGUUCGGAUAAAAUUUCGGGUAUCCAUACCCAUUGACAUCCCUACUUCCUUCACCCUUUCUUUUUCUUUUUUUUUUCUCUCAACAUUUUUUGUUUACUUUUGCCUAUAUUACGUGUAAAAUUUUAUCGCAUAAACCAAUUCUAUUUUUUAAUUGUCAAUAUAACAAAAUUAAAAUUUUAUACGGUAUAAAAAAAUUGCACACCGAGUGUAUAAGACAUGCUCAUAUACAAUUUAUAAUUUGAAUUUUUUAUUUUUGCCUAUAUCAAGUGUAAAAUUUUAGCGCAUGGAGCAAUUCGAUCUAUUUUUUAAUAGCCUUCUCAAGGGUGAGGCCCACUUUUUUUUUCUCUCUGUCACACCCUAUACUUUUUUUCUUUUUUUUUUUUUCCUCUCAACACCUUUUCUUUUUUUUUUAUACCAAAUUUAAAAUUUUAUUGUAUGGAUCAAUCCUAUUUUUUAAUAGUCGAUAGUUUACGGCAGCCACCUCAAAUAAAGAGGUGGGCUCACUCCACUACUCUCUCUCUCUCUCUCUCUCUCUCUCUCUCUUACACACACACACACACACAUACACACACUAUACAAUUUUUUUUUUUUUCUCCCAACACUCUUUCCUUUUUCUUUUUUUUUUUGCCUACGCCAAGUGUUAAAAAAAUUAUACACCGAGUGUAUAAGACAUGCAUAUGUAUUAUAUAAGAUAAAGUUUAGCUUUCUAUCUAUCUAGCUAUAUCCAUACACCCUACAUACUAUACACCCUACACCCCUACAACCGUAUAAUCCUGUUUUUUAAUAGUAGGUAUAAUAAAAUUAAAAUUUCAUACUGUAUAAAACAAGUUGUACAUCGAGUGUAUAAAACAUGAUCGUAUACACACAUGCUUUUGACAGUAUCAAAGAGAACCUAUAUAUUUUGGGUUAAAAUUUUUUUGUACGUAUAAAAAUGCAUAUAUUUGAUUUAAAAAUAUACAAUAAAUGAAAUAACUAGGAAACAGAAUCUGGUCGAAUACUUUGUCAUAAUAAAAGUAGAUUAUACAUGCAUGAAAGUUGUGUGUAUUCGGUAGUUUGUACAGGAUAACAAAAAAGGACCCUCAUAUUUCUGGUAAAAAUACUCUAUUUUUUAAUAGUCGAUAUAAAAAAUUAAAAUUUUAUACGGUGUAAAAAAAUUAUACACAAAGUGUAUAAGACAUGCUCAUAUACAAUCUAUAAUUUAAAUUUUUUUUAUAUUUUUGCCUAAAUCAAGUGUAAAAUUUUAAUAUAUAUAUCAAUAAUUUUUUUUAAUAAUCUCUUCAAGCAAAGAGGUGGGGCCCACUUUUUUUUCUCCCAAUUACCCCACAUCCCUUAUUUUAUUUUAUUUUCUCUCAACACCUUUUUUUUUAUUUUUUCCUACACCUAGUGUAAAAAAUAGGGUUGAUCCAUGUGCUAAAAUUUUACAUUUAGUGUAGGCAAAAAUAAAAAAGAAUUCAAAUUAUAGAUUGUAUAUGAACAUAUCUUAUACACUCGGUGUACAACUUUUUUUACAUCGUAUAAAAUUUUAAUUUUGUUAUAUCGACUAUUAAAAAAUAGAGUUGGUCCAUGUGAUAAAAUUUUACACUUGAUGUAGGAAAAAAAUAAAAAUAAAAGGUGUUGAGCAAAAAAAAAUUUAAAAAAAGAGGUGUAGGGAGAGAGAGAGAGAGAGAGUGAGAGAGAGAGAAAAAAAAGGCAUAUUUUUCAAUAAUUAAUAUGACAAAAUUAAAAUUUCAUCUGAUAAAUACAAUCUAUAAUAUAAAAAAAUCUAGAUACGAAAAUUAAUAGAUUUGUAUCUCUAUAAUAAAACUUCAUAAAUAUUGUGUAAAAAAAAUUAUAGAUUCGGUUCGGUGUAUAAGACAUUCUUACACAUUCUUCAAUUUGACUUUGACUUGACAUAAAUAAAGUUUAGUUUUGAGCUCUCCUUGGAGCAUUGGUGGGGCCCACCCACUUUCUCCACUCCCCUCUCAACCAUUACCUUUUUCUUUCUUUCUUUUUUUGUUUGCAUCAUGUCUAAAAAUUCUUGCAUGAACAAAAAAAAUAAAUUUUUAAUAAUUUAUAUAAUAAACUAAAAUCUAACUUAAUAACUGCAAUCUAUAAUCUAUAAAAAGUGUAAAUACAAAAAUUACUGAAUUUUACUUUUAUAAUAAAAUUUUAUAAAUACAAUGUAAAAAAUUGGUUAUAUAUCUGGUUGAUUUAUUUUUUUAUAAAUAGACAGUUAUUGUGAAUCUUUUGUUUUUUGGUAGUACGCUAUUUUGUGUUCUCUUACUGUUUUAAUUAAGUAAUACUUUAUAGGUCCUAAUCAAAUCAUUAUUCUCAUCAAAUUUUUUUAAUUUAUUAAAAUUUAAUAAAAUUAUUAAUUUUUAGAUCUUUACAUGUCAAAUAUAUUCCUGUAAAAAAUAUACAGGUAGCAUUUUUCUUUUUAGAGAAAAACAGUGGUUCAUCUGUCCCAAUCCAUGACAAUCAUGAUGUUACCAAUACAGUGGAAAAAAUCAAACUACUUUAUGGUAGUAGGCAAUAUUUUACUUUGUUUUUUUUAAAAAAUAAAUUUAGAUGAAAAUGUGGUUCAAAAUUAGGAUUUCGGGUAUUAAUCAUCAAACUCUUUACAACUUGCAGUAUGAACGGUAGGUAAUAUUAGAAUAAAAAAUGGGCUAGUAUUUGAUUUAGUAAUUUAAAUUUAACAUCUUUUAGAUUCUUAUACUUAAAAGUAAAAUUAAAAUACUAUUAAUAGCAAAAGAAAAGUAUUUGCUACCUAUAUUAUAGUUUUUGAAUGCAUAGAGUUUAUUAUUUGGCACAAUAUAUGCUAUUAUAAAUUGAAGGACUACAAAGUUAAUAUUAAAUACUUUUAUAUACUAUCAAUAGUAUUAUAGAUAAACUCUUUUAUGCAUAGAAUUAAAAAAAGAAAAAAUCAAUUAUACCAUUCCAUUUGGCCCAAAUAUUUAUUUUUAUUUUGAUUUUAGACUUAAGAUUUUCUCAAUUAAAUUCUUAAGCUAUAUUAUUUGUUUCGAUUAAGUACCACUCAUCAAAAAGUUCAAUAAUUUUGAUAAAAUUUAUAGCAAAAUUGAUUUAGAAAUAAUGUGGCAAUUCUCGUCAGAUUUUAAUACAAGACUUUAUUGAAGGACCCAGGAGGCAUUGGUAACUUAAUUACAAAAUAUUUUACGAAAUCGAGAGUUAAAAUAAUAAGCUUACGAAUAGAGAGCGAUAUAAAGACACAGCAUUAUUAAUACUGAUUCAUUAAUAAUAUUUUAUAAAACGUGUUUCAAGCUUUUGCUACGCGCUCUGACUAGCUCCCUCCUUCCACUUAUUGGCAAGUCCCUGCAGCGACUUGUACGAGGACCCGCCCGGCGGCGCGAGCGCCCGCGACGCCGCCUCCUGCAGCUCCUUGGCGCGACGGUGCAGCGCCUUGCCCUUCUCCCCCUGCAUCAAUUCCUUCGCCGCCGCCGCGAUCUCCUCCCUGCCGACGACGCCGUAUGGCUCCCUCGCCUGCGGCUGUAUGGCGAUUCCGACCGCCUCGGCGAGCAGGAUGGCAUUCAAGCGCUGCUCGGCGUAGAGCGGGUGCGCGAUCAUCGGCACGCCGUGCACGGUGCUCUCCAGCGCCGAGUUCCAGCCGCAGUGCGAGAAGAAGCCGCCGGUCGCAGCAUGGGCCAGCACCCUGACCUGCGGCGCCCACGACGGCACCACGCGGCCCACGUCCUUUGUCCGUUCCAAGAAGCCCUCGGGAAGGUAAUUCGACGGAUCGUCCUUGUUUCCUAACAUCAUUUAUAAACAGUAAAAUGCGACAAAUCAAGUAUAGCAACUGAGUUCUCCAACCAACUUUGGCCUAUGAAAGAAAUAACUUACGCACUAAAUCGAUGUGCGAAGAAUUGUAAAAACUCUAUACUAAUAAAUCAAAAUUAUAUAUAUUAUAAUAUCGGCACAUCAUCAAAUUUUAUAGCAAAUAGCUUAGUACCUGAUGUGAAGAAGGCGGCGUUCUUUUCUUUGUCACUCGGACACCUGACAACCCAAAGGAAGCGCUGCCCGCUGGCCUCCAGCCCGAGUGCCAUCUCCUGCAUCUGCUCCGUCGAGAGGGAGCCGCCACUUCCGAAAGACACGAAUAAAACCGAGUCGGCCGGCUGCCGGUCCAGCCACUCCAGGCAGCCCGACUCGUCCGCCUCGUCCGAACCGGACCGGACCAUCGGACCCACCAGGUGGACCGGCGGCCUCCCUGCUUCCGCUUGCUCCUCCUCUCUGAUGGCUUUCAGCACCUCCUGCUCCAUCUCCUCGAAGCUGUUCACCAGGAUCCCCGCCGCGUCGCUGUAACUGCAAAACAAAUCGUUACUUUGACAACUCAAUUGUAUUCGAACUAAGAAUCUACUAUUUUAUUUAAAAUUAUCAAUUAUUUUAGAAACGUACGAUGUUUCUUACCUGCUCAUGAUCCGGAUGACCGGAGCGUAGGCGGGAUGUGACUUCUUGCGCAAGGGGUCGGGGAAGUCCGUCCCGCGUAUGGCGACGCAGCCGGGCAGGCGGACGGGGUCGGGGAGGUCUUCGAAGUCGACGUCGGUGGUCUCGUCGAGCCGGGGCAGGCGCAGCGCGAGGGUGAGCAUCGUAAGGUUGGAAGGGUAAAAUAUGUAGCCCGGCACUCCGAGCUCCCGCACCAGCGACAGCGUCACGGCCCCAAAAAGGUCACAGACGAAGGCGGCGGCGGGGUUUCGGAAGGAGAGGAAGGCGUCGCGGAGGAGGGGGAGGCAUCGAGCGGGGAGGGCGCAGAGGUGGGCUUCGAUCGGGGAGUCGGGGGGGAGGUCGGAGAGGGAGAUGGAGGGGAGGGAGACGGAGGUGACGGAGUCGGAGGGGAGGGAGGCGAGGAAGGCGGCCUGCGCUGGGGAGUCGAAGUUGGAGAAGGUGAGUAGGGUGGCGGAGAAGCCGUGGGCGGCGGUGAGCCGGACGGCGAAGUCCGCCAGCGGGAUCACAUGGCCCAUCCCCGGCGUCGGGAGCAAAACCACAUGCGGCCGCCGGCUCUCCUUCCCCUCGACAGCCAUAUAAUUAAUAUCGUAAUAUUUGUUUGGACUGUCGUGCAGUAUAAAACAGAGAUACAGAUAUAUUCGUGAGAAGGGAAGUCUGAGUUGUGUUGUGUUUGUAAAAUUUGUCAGGAAGCUUCUCAUGAAUUAAGGGAAAAAAAAGUGUGGGCCAUGUUCUCAGGUCGGUCGUCUUUGGCUCCAUGUGUUGUGGACGUGUUUGGUUAUGUCUUCCUUUCCAAUUUAAUAAGACAUAAAUAGAAUAUAGUAAAUUUUAACUUUUUUUAAUAGUUAUAGCAUUUUAGAAAGCAAUUUGUUACAUAAGUCAUAAAGUAACAAACACAGUACAUGAACUUGAUCAAAUUAUUAUUACGUACAAUAAUUAAUAGAUGCUAACCUAAUUAUUUAGAUAAGAUGCAUCUUAUAAUAAUAUAUAUUAAGCUUACUACCUAGAACAAAAUAUAAUUUGUAUGUACGCGUCACGUUUUUAUUAUUUCAUUUUAAACAAUUAUUGUAUGCGCAUAAUUGCUGACGAGUACUGCGUACAUCUUUUUAAUAUGUUGAUACAUCAAAAUAUUUCUCAUUCUAGUAACUCCCCUUCAACCAGUAUUGUCAAAAUACACUCCUGAACUUUUAAUUUCAGUUGCUAAAUUAACCAGUUUUAUUAAUCCUCCUCCUCCAAUAAAGUUAUUAAUUAAUUAAAUAAUGAUGCUGAUUGAUAAAUUAUCCUCAAAUUGCUAUAAUUACUUUCCUUUUGUACGCUUUGGGAACAAAUAAUAUCUUUAUAUAUGUAUACAAUUAAUGUGUACCUUAUUUAUGGGCACAUCGACAAUAUCAACAAUUUAUAUAUAUAAAAAAAAAUCUUUUAGACAUUCAAAAUAUUUUUCUAAAAAAAUAUUAAAAAAGAUGGAUUAAAUACCUUACAUCUGAUUUAGAUUUAUAACCUUCUAUCAUAAUAUGGUGGGCAUACAUGUUACUAAUUAAUUAGUAAUUACUCUGCCGAAUACAUUUUGAUCCUGUUCCAACUUUUGUUUUUAUCUUUCCUCUUUUUGUACUUGAUUAAUUACCUUAUAUUCCAAUAAUUACUUUUCUCCUCCCAUUUUGCUUAUGUUUUAUAUUGGGGUCUAAAAAUGAUUCUACUAGUUAUAUUAAGGUAUUAGAUGAACUUGAUCCAAUAACUAUUUUUAAAAGAAAUAAACGAAACAGUUAACAUACUACCUUACCCUCUCAAAAAAAAAAAAUUUGCUGUAAUAAUACCUUUCCGCCGUAUCGUACGGGCCGUUAACUAGUUUUCUAUAAUUUAACAACUACAACUCACGAGGAAAACGACAAGUGCAAAAUUAUAUAAAAAAAAAAAACUUAACAUUUAUUGAGGAUCUGUCUUUCAUUUAAAAAAAAAAUGUAAAAGAGACAAAUGAAAUCCUCAGCAAUCCAACUGGUACCGACCGUCCCUAGAGCAAGUGGCAAAAGACUUGGUGGUUGGUACCCGAAACUCAAAUUUGAAUCCUAGUUGAUUCAUAUUUCCAGCUAAGUUUAUUUCUAAAUAAAAUAAACGAAGCAGGUAGCGCGCUAUCUAUCUCUCAAAAAAAAAAUAAAUAAAAUCCGAGCAAGUGGUCAAACAAGCCAUUUUGGUGGGACAGCAAAUAUAUUUCAUGGACCGAAUCAAUAUGAUGAACUUCUAGAAACAACAUAAAGCAAUUAAUUUUUAAAUUUAGAAGUCAUUGAGUAGAGCUAGAAUACCCCCAAAAGCACCAAUAGGUUGGUGUUUUUGAGUUUUUAGCUUUUUGAUGGAGAGAUAUAGGGUUGAGAUGAUAGUGGUAGGUGGUACUACGUGGAAUAAUACUUGAUCCAAAGGGUAUUAGUAAUUGAAAAGCAUAUCCAAGGGAUAAAAACUUAGAAGCACCAAUAAGUUGGUGGUUCUAAAAGUAUUCUAGCUCUACUCGUCAUUGAGUAUCACUUUUUUUAACAGGCGUAUAUUCCAAUCUACACUAAUUUAGUUGACUAAAUAUUCACGCAUCGUUAAUGUAAAAAUAAUAUUGUAAUACUGUGAUUAUUGAUGCACCAAAAAUUAUAAUUUUACAUCACUUUUAUUUCAGUAGUAUAUUAAUAUUUAAUCAGAUAAAUUCGAGUGCGGGACUUGGCUACUUGCUUUGUACUUAGUCCCAUACCAUUUGUUUUUUUUUUUUUUUGGAAUGUUACUUCAUCCCCUCUUUUGAUGUUGACUAUUGUCAAUUUGGCUUAAAUUAGCAUGCCAUUACAUUAAUAAGAGAAUCUUAUUGAAGAAACAAUGGUCACAUAUGAUGCAAAUAUAGUCAAAACAAAAAAGCUUUUAUAUUCUUAGGAAAUUACUUAUAAAAUAUUCGAAUCACCAUCUAAAAAGAAAAGAAAAACUAACCACCCAUUUUCCUGGUCCAAAUGGCUUGACAUUUUCAAACAGAGUUUUCAAAUUUAUUUAUUUUAUAAAAAAUAAUUACGUGUAUUAAGUUGAUCUGAAAAACAAACUAUUCAUUGAGUAUACUAACAUUCAUGCGAAAUUAAUAUAAAUAACACGCGAAAUUAACAGGCAGUACGAUGCAUACUAAACAAACUAUUAAUAUAAAUGACCUGCGAAAUUAACAGAUAGUAUGAUGCAUACUAUGAAAAAAAUUAAUUAGACAAAAAAUUAUAAUUGAUAAAAAUAAUUAUUCACAAAAAUAUAGAUAUGAUACUUUGUUUACUUUUACGCAGCACAAGAAAAUAAAUAGAUAGACCUAAGUAAUAGAUAAACCUAGUUAUCCAAAAGCCGAUCAAGAGGUAGGGAAGUUCCAGUCCUCUAUAUAAAGUUAAAUUUGGGACUCAGUACGCUUGUAUGGGUUUAUUGUAUAACGGUGUGUUUGGUAAAAUCGAUCUACACUUCAGUAAAGCUAGAGUUCCGUCUGUAUGGUAGGAAAAAUUCUAGAAUGCAACGGGUAUAUUAGUGACGUGGCGUAACAAACUAAUCAAAUUAAUCCUUUUAAGAAUAUAUGUCCCAUCAUGAUUGUAAAAAAAUAUUUUUAUUGUACUUUUGUUUAAAAAGAAGGAAUGUGAUUGGCUUGUUAUUGAUGACGUGGUACAAGUGUGACAGUGUAGAAUUCCUCCCAAGAAAGGGUGUAGGCCCCAUGGAAGUCAAGCUCCGCCAUUUCGUCCGUGAGCCAACUUGUGGUUUUCUGAGACGAAUUCACACAUGCAGGCGGUGUAGGCCCCAUGGAAGUCGAGCUCUGCCGUUUCGUCCAAACAUAGGCGAAUUCCUGUUACAAGAAUUAUGUCACCUCCACCUCGAAUUCGAUCAAAACAAAUACGUUCUAAGUUAGUUUUUUUUUUUUUAAGAGAGAAAAACAACAUACUAUCCAUUUCGUUGAUUUCUUUUAAAAUAAAAAAUAAACUUAGCUGAAAAUAUAAAAUAAUUAGAUUUCGAAUUUAGAAUCUCAAGUAUCAAUCACUAAAUCUUUUGCCACUUGCACUAUGGCGGGGGGUCAUUACACUCUAAGUUGUUGAAAGAAUUGUUNUUACCCUAUCAGAAAUCAAAUUUGAUUUUAAAAAUAAUUGAAGUAUACUUAGCAUAUAGGAGUUUGUAUGUAGCACUGGACAAUUAAUUUCUGACAAAGUUAGAGUAAAAUUUAAACACACAAAAUAAAAUCAUAAUACUGUACUUAAUGAUGCAAAAUCCACUGGUGAUAUUUUUCCUCCUGUUUUGUCCAUUUACAAGAUUCUUGUACCCUUCAAUUUUGGUAUUUUCCUAUCUUAUCUUACCUUAUCAAUAUCAAUAUAUUAAAGGGACCGACUGUUCCUAGCGCAAGUAGCAAAGAGCUUGAUGAUUGAUAUUCGAGAUAUCAAGUUCGAAUCCUAGUUGAUUCACAUUUCCAUCUAAGUUUAUUUAUAAAUAAAAUAAAUAAAACGGAUAACAUUCUACCUAUCUCUAAAAAAAAAAAAAAAAAAAAGAUUAAAGGCGUACCAUUAGGGCUGGCAAAUGAGCGAGCCGCUCGCUUCGAGCUCACGCGUCGAACUCGAUAUUUGCCAUCGUGAGCUCGACUCCGAAAUUAAAAAUGAAGCUAGCUUGAACAAAAAAACAAAGCUCGAAAUACCAUUUCAAACCGACUUGAGUACUUACUCCGCUCGUUCGAAUUAGGCCCCCGAAAAGCUCGAAAUCAUAUAUAUAUAUAUAUAUAUAUAUAUAUAUAUAUAUAUAUAUAUAUAUAUAUAUAGUAGAGCUACUAUACUAUCGAAAGUAUAGAGAUCUGGUGCUCUCGAUUUUUUGAUUCUUAGAUCAAUCCCUUUAAUCGUUUUUUAUCUUUGGAUUAAUAUUAUUAUUACCUUAUAGGGACCACUCAAUCCUAAGAGUAUUAUUUAAUCCUAGGGAGACCGCAAUCAUCUCAACGAUACAAUUUUUAAUCAAAUGGUCAAAAAUUAAAAAACAUCAAAUCCUCUAUAUUUCGAUAGCAUAGUAGUUCUACACUAUAUAUAUAUAUAUAUAUACAUACAUAUACAUAUAUAUAUAUAUACAUAUAUAUAUAUAUACAUAUAUAUAUACAUAUAUAUAUAUACAUAUAUAUAUAUACAUACAUAUACAUAUAUAUAUAUAUAUAUACAUAUAUAUAUAUAUAUACAUAUAUACAUAUAUAUAUAUAUACAUAUAUAUAUUAAAAAAUAUAUAAAUAUAAUAUAUAUAUAUAUAUUAAAAUAUAUAUAAAUAUAAUAUAUUUUAAUUAUAUAUAGGUUGAGUGAAUAAUCUGAGUUUAGUUAAAAUUGGGCCAAUGUUGUUGGCCCAUAAAAACAAACCCAAUAGACAAAUAAAAAAGUAAAAUUUUACUAAAUUUAUAUAUUUUUCUUUUCUUUCUUUCUUUCUUUUCUUUACAGAGUUCUAAAUUUUCAAUAUUUUUCUUUCUCAUUUUCUGCCUCUCACCCUAAGUGGCCAAGCCGGAAGCUCUCUAAGUUACCAAGUAACAUCAUAUGCUCGCCGUUGCCUAUCUUACUAUUUAUUGUAUGCUUGAAAAAACAUAUAGAAUAUUUUUAAAGUAAAAAAAUUAUUAUUCAUAUAAAAUUUUAAUUUUAGUUAUAUAUGAUUGGGUAGUUUAAUCCAAUAUUUAUCUAUAAAAUUUAUUUAUUUUUGACUGUAUAAAUGAAAAUGAAUAAUAUAGAAAUUGAAGGCGGAAGAAAAGACAUGUGAGGCUGAAAAAAUUAGAUAUUCAACUCAUAAAUUAUUUUUUUUAAUAUUAUAAUACUAUAUUUCAUAUAAUUAUUUUGUACUUUGAACUAUUAGACAUAUUUUUGUAUCAAAUUAUAGAUAAUGUUCUAUAUAAAUUAAACUAUUGAUCGUAUAAUGUUCAGAAUUUCAAGCGGCUCGUUUAGGGCUCGAGCUCGCUCGACUUGAAAUUAGGCUCGCUCGAGCUCGACUCGAAUUAAUUUCAAUCCAAGCUUGAGCUUAAAUUUAGGCUCGAAAUUAAUUUCAAGCCGAAUUUGAGCCGAGGUAAGCUCGCUCGAGCUCGGCUCGUUUCCACCCCUACGUACCAUACAUGAAAGGAGAAUCCAAACCAUGUGUACAGCAGAGCCCUCCUCGCUCCUGUGGGGCCCACUCUUUUUUUUUUUUUUUUUCUCUCUCUCCCAUACUUCCUUCACCCUUUCUUUUUUUAUUUGUUUUUUUCUCUCAACAUUUUUUUUUUUAUUUUUGUCUAUAUCACGUGUAAAAUUUUAUUAUAUGAACUAACCUUAUUUUUUAAUAGUCGAUAUAACAAAAUUAAAAUUUCAUACGGUAUAAAAAAAAUUGUACACCAAGUGUAUAAAACAUGCUUAUAUACAAUUUAUAAUUUGAUUUUUUUUUUAUUUUUACCUAUAUCAAGUAUAAAAUUUUAGCGCAUACACCAAUUCUAUUUUUUAAUAGUCUCCUCAAGGAAAGCGGUGGGACCCACUUUUUUUCUCUCUCAUACUCUCUCUCUCUCACACCCUAUACCCCCCCCUCCUCCUCUUUUUUUCUCUCAACACCUUUUCUUUUUUGUUUUUUCCUACACAAGUUUAAAAUUUUAUCAUAUAGAUCAACCUUAUUUUNCUUAUUUUUUAAUAGUCGAUAUAACAAAAUUAAAAUUUCAUACGGUAUAAAAAAAAUUGUACACCAAGUGUAUAAAACAUGCUUAUAUACAAUUUCUCAACACCUUUUCUUUUUUGUUUUUUCCUACACAAGUUUAAAAUUUUAUCAUAUAGAUCAACCUUAUUUUUUAAUAAUUGAUAGUGUACAGCAACCACUUCAAAUAAAGAGGUGGGGCUCACUCCACUUUUUUUUUCUCUCUCUCACUCUCCCUCACUCUCUCACACAUUGUACACCGAGUGUAUAAGACGUGCACAUGUAUUGCAUAUGAUAAAGUUUAGCUUUCUAUCUAUCUAUAUCCAUACACCCUACACACACCCUACACCCUACACCCUACACCCUACACCUCUAUAAUCCUAUUUUUUAAUAUUCAAUAUAACAAAAUUAAAAUUUCAUACGGUGUAAAAAAGUUGUACACCGAAUUUAUAAGAUAUGCUCAUAUACACGUCUUUGACAGUAUCAAAGAGAACUUAUAUACUUUGGGUUAAAAUUUUUUUGUACGUAUAAAAAUGCAAGUAUCUAAUUUAAACAUACACAAUAAAUGAAAUAACUAGGAAAUAUAAUCUGAUCGAAUACUUUGUCAUAAUAAAAGUAGAUUAUACAUGUAUGAAAGUUGUGUGCACUCAGUAGUUGUACAGGAUAACAAAGAAGGACCCUCAUAUUUCUGGCAAAAAUACUUUAUUUUUUAAUAGUCGAAAUACAAAAUUAAAAUUUCAUACGAUGUAAAAAAAAUUGUACAACAAGUGUAGAAGACAUGCUCAUAUAUAAUCUAUAAUUUAAAAUUUUUUUAUUUUUGCCUACAAAAUUUUAUUGCAUGGACCAAUCUUAUUUUUUAAUAGUCUCCUCAAGCAAAGAGGGGGCACACUUUUUUUUCUCUCUCUCAUUCUCUCUCUCUCUCUCUCACCCUACACUGCUUAUUUUAUUUUAUUUUUUCUCUCAACACCUUUUUUUUUUAUUUUUUCCUGCUCCAAGUGUAAAAAAUAGGGCUGGUCCAUGCGCUAAAAUUUUACACUUGGUGUAGGCAAAAAUAAAAAAAAUUCAAAUUAUAAAUUAUAUAUGAGCAUGUCUUAUACACUCGUAUACAACUUGUUUUACACCUUGUAAACUUUUAAUUUUUGUUAUAUCGACUAUUAAAAAAUAGGGUUAGUCCAUGCGAUAAAGUUUUAUACUUGAUGUAGGAAAAAAAAUUUAAAAAAAGGUGUUGAGCGAAAAAAAUAAAAAAAAAAAAGGGUGCAGGGUGUGUGAAAGAGAGAGUGUGAGAGAG